GACGAACGCUGGCGGCGUGCCUAAUACAUGCAAGUAGAACGCUGAAGGAGGAGCUUGCUCUUCUGGAUGAGUUGCGAACGGGUGAGUAACGCGUAGGUAACCUGCCUGGUAGCGGGGGAUAACUAUUGGAAACGAUAGCUAAUACCGCAUAACAGUAGAUGUUGCAUGACAUUUACUUCAAAGGUGCAAUUGCAUCACUACCAGAUGGACCUGCGUUGUAUUAGCUAGUUGGUGGGGUAACGGCUCACCAAGGCGACGAUACAUAGCCGACCUGAGAGGGUGAUCGGCCAAACUGGGACUGAGACACGGCCCAGACUACUACGGGAGGCAGCAGGAGGGAAUCUUCGGCAAUGGACGGAAGUCUGACCGAGCAACGCCGCGGGAGUGAAGAAGGUUUUCGGAUCGUAAAGCUCGGUUGUAAGAGAAGAACGAGUGUGAGAGUGGAAAGUUCACACUGUGACGGUAUCUUACCAGAAAGGGACGGCUAACUACGUG
rnacentral:rRNA from 1 species